rnacentral:lncRNA from 1 species
CUAAAGCAUUGGUUUUAAAUGACUUACACCAUAACCAGCUGGUAGAGCAUCUUCUUCUACUUCUUCUACUUCUUCUACUUAUAUCCAUCUGAAAGCAAACAAGACAAAGGAUAUUCAUUAGAUACUAGAGGUAGAUACUAGAGGUCUAGAAACAGUACAAAAGAGAACAAACAACUAAAGCGAGUAAGUAUGUAACAAUCAGAAACCAAAUACACAAACCCAUCAAGUGAACUAAAUACACAAACACAAUCAGAGAUGUAACAAUCAGAAACCAAAUAAACAGAUGAAACCCAUCAAGCUAAUCAGAGAAACCCAUCAAACAAAUCAGAGAAACCCAUCAAACGCAAGCUAUAUAGAGAAACCCAUCAAACAAAUCAGAGAAACCC